rnacentral:tRNA from 1 species
GUAGACGCUACGGACUUAAAAUCCGUCGACUUUAUAAAUCGUGAGGGUUCAAGUCCCUCUAUCCCCA